rnacentral:lncRNA from 1 species
GGUAUUUGAAUAUAUAUAAAUAUCUGAGAAAUAUAAUUAUACAAAAACGUGUAUGAAAAUUAAAUGUAAUCACAUAAGCUUUAAUAAAUGCGAAAUUAAAUUUAGAAGAGGAAAAAGAAGAAAAAGGAAAAAACGAUGUGUUGGUGGCGAAAAAAGAAAAGAAGAGAAAGAAAGCGUAGCGUCAGCGAAGGGUAAGCAGGUGACGUGUCAAGUCACGUGACCACAAUCUGAGACCAAAACGCGGAGAACCUCUAGGGUUAUUAUUAUAGACAAUAUAGACCCCCACACACACAUACGAGGGGCAAAAUGGUAAAUAUAACGAAACGUGUAGGUGUAGGUCCUUUUGUUGAGUGGCAGUGAGCUGUCAAACUGGGGAAGAGCGAAUUUUUCUUUUUUCUUUUUUUUUCUUUUUUUUUUUGUUUUGUUUGUGCUUCUUCUUCUUCUUCUACAUCUUCUUAAAUCGCAACGUGCGUUUUCAUGGGCUCUGACGCUGUUUGUCCCUCCAGUCCUCACCAUUGUAGUAGAUAUUUUCUUUUAAAUUAAUUUCCCAACAAUAAAAACAUUUCUUUUCCUACACACAUUAUAAGAACAAAAA